GGGUGAUUAGCUCAGCUGGGAGGGCAUCUGCCUUACAAGCAGAGGGUCGGCGGUUCGAUCCCGUCAUCACCCACCA
rnacentral:tRNA from 1 species